AUUGAACGCUGGCGGCAGGCCUAACACAUGCAAGUCGAGCGGAUGACGGGAGCUUGCUCCUUGAUUCAGCGGCGGACGGGUGAGUAAUGCCUAGGAAUCUGCCUGGCAGUGGGGGACAACGUUUCGAAAGGAACGCUAAUACCGCAUGCGUCCUACGGGAGAAAGCAGGGGACCUUCGGGCCUUGCGCUAUCAGAUGAGCCUAGGUCGGAGUAGCUUGUUGGUGAGGUAAUGGCUCACCAAGGCGACGAGCCGUAACUGGUCUGAGAGGAUGGUCAGUCACACUGGAACUGGGACACGGUCCAGACUCCUACGGGAGGCAGCAGUGGGGAAUAUUGGACAAUGGGCGAAAGCCUGGUCCAGCCAUGCCGCGUGUGUGAAGAAGGUCUUCGGAUUGUAAAGCACUUUAAGUUGGGAGGAAGGGUUGUAGAUUAGUACUCUGCAAUUUUGACGUUACCGACAGAAUAAGCACCGGCUAACUCUGUGCCAGCCGCCGCCGUAACAC
rnacentral:rRNA from 1 species